GGAGGUGUAGCUCAGUGGUAGGGCACUUGCUUAGCCUGUGCAAAGCCCUGAGUUCAAUCCCCAGCACCUCAC
rnacentral:tRNA from 1 species